rnacentral:snRNA from 1 species
AUCGCUUCUCGGCCUUUUGGCUAAGAUCAAGUGUAGUAUCUGUUCUUAUCAGUUUAAAAUCCAGUUCAUUCAUGAAUCCCUUAUUCUAAAACACUGUACCAUGAGAAAGGCUGGGUAUAUCUCAUCUCUGUCCAUGUUCA